AUUACUCCCUUCCAUGAUCCGUCAAACUUCUUCUCCCUCAAUUCAUCUGCUUCACCAAAUCCUCAAAUUGAGAAUAGCCCCAACUUCUCGCCUCCUCCUCCCUCACGCCGGCGAUCGCUACUCUCGUCACCUCGGCGAUUCGACAUCGGAGGGUACCGGAUAGUUCUUCUCCCCCAAUUCAUGAAGAACCCAAAUUUCUCCGUCGCUGCCUGUUCCACCCAGGACGCCACUGCAGCGAGCCAUCGGCUCCUCCGCCGCAAUCAACACCUUCCCCCUCCGUUUAAAACUCUGAACAUCACCACCCGUCUUCUCUUGUUUCUACCUUCUCUUGUUUUUAUGCGUAUUUUACCUUCUCUUGUUUCUACCUUCUCUUGUUUUUAUGCGGAAGUCCGAUGUGUCUAAUAUUUCUACCUUCUCUUGUUUUUAUGCGUAUUUUCCGUUUCCUUCUUUUUUACUGUUUUGUUUUUUCUUUCAAGUUCUGGUUGGCUGUCUUUGUUUUUUAAUUUUUGAAUUGUCCGUUAAGGACGUUCAAACAGUGAUGGGUUUUUUUAACCUUUUUUUGUUUUGAGUUAGAAUUUCUCAUGCUCUAGGAUUCUUGGUUUUGACUCUGCUCAUGUUGCUAUGAUUUGCCAUGCUGCUGCAUGUUUAUCAUCAAGGAAAUUUAUUGUUGGAAUUUGGGAGUUUGUACAUAUGAAAGAAAUUUUGACCAUUUGGCCUCUCCUUCAAGCUUUUAUGUUUCCUGUAUCUCAAAGUCAAAACAGAGCAUAUUUGAAUGCUAUGUAGUAUAAGUUUUUCUUGUUUGUUGGCCUUUUUUAGUGGGCAUUUGAUGAGCUGUUCGCAUUUUAGUAUCUUCUUUGUUGGUUCUUGUAUGUAUUAGUCAAAGCCUCUCAGGGUGGAGUUUACUAUUAUACAUGAUUGAGUGUUUUUUGUCUUCAUCACUAGGAUUUCCCAAUUGUAGCUGAUGAAUCGGCGAAUUUUUGAUGUUAGUGAAUGCAGGAAGAUGCAGAUCACGACACAGAGAUUUUACGUGGUUCGAUUUACUGAGACAUGACAGAAGUUAAUGGUAGAGCUUCCCAUUGCAAUGAUGUUUGCAACCUUCAACGUCUCGUAAUGAACAGAAAAAAGGCAGCAGAUAACAGCCCAGACACUUCUUGAUUCGUUAAUCAUGCUUCGAUUGAAUGGGAAGAGAGCCGAAGGAAAUGGACUGGAGAUAUAUCUCAGAGGCCGCGAGGAAUGCAAAAUGAUCCAAUUAUAAGCUGGUCAACGACGUAUGAAGACUUGCUCUCGACCAAUGACCCUUUCCCUAAGCCAAUUCCUUUACCCGAGAUGGUAGAUUUUUUGGUUGAUACCUGGCAUGACGAGGGGCUUUUUGAUUAGAUAAUCUUAUCGAAGAGGCUUCACACCGAUAAAACAUCAGCUUCCUUCUGUUGUUGUUAAAUAGUGAUGAACAUACUUUUAGCUUGAUUAUGCUUCUUAAUGAUGCAUUGCCUUGUCGAUAAGGUGCUGAUCUUAUAUAUUGUUCUACAACAAUAAUCACACUCUGUGGGGGAUAAGGUGCUACAUCUCGUGUUGUCGAAUGAGUACCAAUUGUGUUGCAUAGCUUAUGUGGGAGGAUUGAGCAUGUCUUAUUUUUUCUAGUUUUAGUUAUGCAGCAGUGUAGUAUGAGUAUGAUAUAUAGGUAAUGCAUUCAACUGAAAAUCUUACUAGUUGUUAGUUUAGUUUCUUCUUAAAAUGUAGAAGAGCUAGCAACUAGAUUUGUAUGAACACAUAAAAUGUUGCAGAUGUUGGUGUGUAAUGCUAAUACUACUAUUUUUUAAUUUUGAAUACUUUAAAUGAGCACUGAUGUUUUUUCUA